rnacentral:lncRNA from 1 species
UUAAUCCUAUGGGCGUAUCUGUAAUCCAGCAUCCUGGAGACAGAAACAGGAGGAUUGUGGAUCUGAUGUCAGGCUGGGAUGCAUAGAGAAACCGUGUCUAAAACAAAUCAGUAAAAUCCUAUGGGUCGUAAGCAUAAAAACGCGGAGCAUAAAGGAACUCAAGAUGAACAUAAAAAGCAGAGUGUAGGGGGGUGUCUGUCCCUUUAUCACACUAGAAAGCCCACUUCCAAAGGCAGAAUAGUUUUCACUUCCAGACUCAACCUGUUCUGGUGACGGCAUUUUUGUUUUUAAUACAAUUGGUAUCUGAUCAUCUCCCCAGAGCUCUGUGACUCUUUGGUGAGAGGCAUUUACUGUUUUAUAAGUUCAGUUCCUUUUUUUUUUUUUUUUUAAUCAAAACUUGUUGUAUUUUAAAGAAUCUGACUAAACAGUUAUUCUGGUCAGUACUUCAUGUGAAGAUCCUGGAGAACAUGUACGUACAGGAAUCGCUUUCAGUUAAGCAUACGCCUGUUUGAGAAACUAAAAUCGUCAAUCUCUCAAGAGAAGCCAUUUAUUUAUGCCAAAUAUUCUUGGGGUUGAGGGCGGGGAUAUGAUAUAGUCUUUCUAUUCCCAACAUCAAAAUAGGCUCUGCACUAAAUCUUGUUCCCUUAUGUUUACCUUGGUGGCUUUUUGAAGUACCAAGCUUCUUUCUAAAGCCUCUUUGUGGGUGAAUGUGAGAAUGAGCAUGUAGAAACCAGUGUUCAACCUUGGCACCCACCUGCUUUGAGACAGGGUCACAAAUUCAGCUAGACCUGCUGGCAGUGAGCCUCAGGAGAUCCUGUCUGCUGCUUGCUGCUGGGUUGCCUAGCUUGUACCACCACGCCCAGCUGCUCUGUUUUACAUGGAUUCUGGAAUCUUAACUGAUGACCUUGUGCUUGCAAGGGAGGCAGACACUCUUCCAAUUCAGCUAGCUUUCUAGCCCUGCCCCCCCCCUUUUUUUUUUCUUUAUAUCUUAAUGCUGGAACAAUGAAAGAUUCAAAAUUUAAACAUUAAGAUUGAUUAGUUGAUUAGAAAAGAAAGUAAAAUGGUACAGUAAAAUUACCAUUUACAGACAGGGGCCUUCUAUCGGUACAAUAUUAAUGAAUACCUCACAUAAGGAAGAUGGGGCUUUAGGAUAAAUUUGAAAAUUGUUGAAGUAUGAACUAUGUUAAUUUGUAAAGCAACCGUCACUGAAGGGUAGAAAGUGACUUGGUUACUGUGACUUGAUGUUAAAAAGAAUUUUCUACAAUCAUUGGUUCUAUUUGUUGAAAUUGUAAAGAUAGGGAUUGUGUGAGGAGGAGAGGGUUUGGGAAAGGGCGUUUCCCUUCGGUUAUAGAUGCUCUGUUGUAGAACUCCCUGAGCACCUGUAGGUUUCCAGUGCUUGCUCAUUAACAUAGAGAAUAACUGAAAACUGAAGCUUUGGUUAAGUGCUUGAACCAGAGAUCAGUCACCACACCCUACCUAGUUUGAAGCUUACUGGGUAUUCCAAUAAAGAGCUUUUAGAAGUUUUUGGUGUGGAACCCCAGGAUUCCUGGAUAAAGGAGGCCCAGAUAAGAGCGGAGAGGGAGGAGUACUUGACUCUCUUGAGUUAGGAAACUCAAGAGCAUGGUGAACUCAUCACUAAAUCCAGCCUUUUCUAAACAAAAAUUAAACAGAGUUAAAAGAAUUUCACAUUCUAAUAAAAGUUAGAAAUGUCCAUGCACUUCAUUGAAGAGCUAUUUGUAAGUGACAGUCUCCAUUUAGCCCGUAAAUAUGUCUCAGCUGCCCCCUUCUGAGUCCAGAAAGAUGUCCUUAGCAGUAGAAACAGACUCCUUCAAAAGAAAAUUACAUGUCUAAUACAGGCAGUGAGUGAUGUUGCCGAUAGAUAGGGUGUUAGCCGGCGCUGGGUGUCGCAAAGGAAAUAAAACCCCAGGGAAAGAAGUGUGCAUCGAGUCUGGCUCUGGGAUUCAUCCCUGUUGUGGUGGGAAUACACAGUGUGUAUGAGGUCCCUAGUAUUG